rnacentral:rRNA from 1 species
UACGAAGGGGGCUAGCGUUGUUCGGAAUUACUGGGCGUAAAGCGCGCGCAGGCGGUCUUCCAAGUCAGUGGUGAAAGCCCGGAGCUCAACUCCGGAACUGCCAUUGAAACUGUGAGACUUGAGGAUGAGAGAGGUGAGUGGAAUUCCCAGUGUAGAGGUGAAAUUCGUAGAUAUUGGGAAGAACACCGGUGGCGAAGGCGGCAUCCUGGACCGAUACGUGACGCUGAGGAGCGAAAGCCAGGGGAGCAAACGGG